rnacentral:rRNA from 1 species
UGGUCAUUUAGAGGAAGUAAAAGUCGUAACAAGGUUUCCGUAGGUGAACCUGCGGAAGGAUCAUUAAAGAGUAAGGGUGCUCAGCGCCCGACCUCCAACCCUUUGUUGUUAAAACUACCUUGUUGCUUUGGCGGGACCGCUCGGUUCCGAGCCGCUGGGGAUUCGUCCCAGGCGAGCGCCCGCCAGAGUUAAACCAAACUCUUGUUAUUUAAACCGGUCGUCUGAGUUAAAAUUUUGAAUAAAUCAAAACUUUCAACAACGGAUCUCUUGGUUCUCGCAUCGAUGAAGAACGCAGCGAAAUGCGAUAAGUAAUGUGAAUUGCAGAAUUCAGUGAAUCAUCGAAUCUUUGAACGCACAUUGCGCCCCUUGGUAUUCCGAGGGGCAUGCCUGUUCGAGCGUCAUUACACCACUCAAGCUAUGCUUGGUAUUGGGUGCCGUCCUUAGUUGGGCGCGCCUUAAAGACCUCGGCGAGGCCACUCCGGCUUUAGGCGUAGUAGAAUUUAUUCGAACGUCUGUCAAAGGAGAGGAACUCUGCCGAUUGAAACCUUUUAUUUUUCUAGGUUGACCUCGGAUCAGGUAGGGAUACCCGCUGAACUUAAGCAUAUCAAUAAGCGGAGGA